UGUGCUCCGGGGACAUACAUGCAGGCCAAACACUUAUACUCACAAAGAAAUAAAUCUUUGGAAAAGAAUAUUUCCACCACGGUGGAGCUAUCAUGAAGAACAACCGGAUGAGUAUGAGGCAGAGCAAAGCAUCACUCGCAGCUUCUUGGCAGUGGCCCCAUAACUGGUAUUUGAGUGUGCAAGGCAGAAUGUACUAGUACACACCCCAUAGCUGUAGAAGAAGCCACCUCCAGCACUAAGUGGGUUUGGGACACCGGAUCUGUCAGCACUUCUCUCUGAGCCCCAGCUUCCUCACUGGCCUGACCAGCGCUGCCCCUACUGAAUUCUAACCGUAACUGCAAGUCAUCCACGUUGGGUGCUUGGCAUAGUUCCCAGGCCUGGCAGUUGCUCAGGAGGUGCCCAGCACUACGGUCUCACACCGUCAUUGUCAUCUUUAAACAACCACACACGUCCCAGGACACAGCAGCCGUGCUCAGCAUCACCGUGAAUAACUAGAGUAACCAUCAUGAAAGGAAGAGCCCCACGGAAGCUGGAGCAGCAAGGAGGGCAAAAGCAUCCCAGUCUGGAGUGGGGCAUAAUAAAUGAAAUUACUGAGUUUUCAAAAGGCAAGCAGGAGGCUCUGUCCUUAGCAGAAAUGGCAUCAAAACAGGGGGACAGAAGUGUCUGCUCAUGUGGAGAGACGAGUAGAGCCUGUGUGGUGCUCAACUGCUCUGCACAUGUCUCUGACCUUGGAUGAGGUCUCCUAUAGACUAUCCAAAAUACCUAAUCCAAUGUAAGCUCUGUGCAAACAGUCACUGCACUGCAUCCUUCGGGGAAUAACGGCAACGGGAGGAAAAGAUACAGACGGACGGACAGAUAGGGAUGUACAG
rnacentral:lncRNA from 1 species